GUUGCGGUGGCCGAGUGGUUAAGGCGUUGGACUAGAAAUCCAAUGGGAUCUUCCCGCGCAGGUUCGAAUGCUGCCCGCAAUG
rfam:Nematostella vectensis strain CH2 x CH6 NEMVEscaffold_486_Cont28485, whole genome shotgun sequence.